GUGAUCGGUAUCAUCAAAAGGAAGGCUUUGAUAAAAAAGUUGGCCGCAGUUUACCAUGCUGAGUGCCUUGCCUACUGUCAGGAACUUUUGGAAUUGCAAAAGAAAUGGGAAGAGGUCAGGAUAAUGCCAUCUUACUUUCCAUUUGUGGAUUUAAAAACCCCUGAUGAUACAAGGAAAGAGCAAACAAAGCCUCCUAAACGUCUAAAGAAGUCCCGCUAAGGUGGAUAUGUGCAAUGACACGUUCCUGGCAUAUAAGAAGCACUAUUUCAACUACUUGAUAUUAAAUGGAAAAGGCAAUGAACCAAAUCCGUCAAGAUUUGAUGUUGCUAUUGGUGCUGUAUUGUGGGUAUCGUUGAAUUUUCUGUUCAACUAGUAGACAUUAGUUCUGAUUCAAGCUGAUCACAGGAGUGACAUAUGUAUCUUUAUAGAGGGUAUUAUAUUGUAAAAAAAAAUAACCUUGACAGUUGGUGUUUCCGAGCACCUUCAUUUGAUAUCAUAAAUCAACGGCUUCAAAGCAGUAGAUAGUUGAUACACCAGCUAUUGUGUAGGAUACAAGACUGGAGUUCUUUUUAGUUCCAUGUUUGGGCCAAGUUGGUUUUAGUACCUUACGAGAUUGGAGAACUGGUUAUCUCAGUUGCAGAAUGUUCUGAAAUGUUAAUUUUGUAAUCAAUUAUUAUUUUAAAGUCCA